rnacentral:tRNA from 1 species
GGAGGGGUGUCAGAGUGGCCGAAUGAGACGGUCUUGAAAACCGUUGUACCGCGCAAGUGGUACCGUGGGUUCGAAUCCCACCCCCUCCGCCA